UUUUUUUAAUGUAAAACUAAAUGUGAGUUUUACUUUCAUCCAAAGUUGUUAAAUAUUUGUCUUUAAUUCUUAAAUUCUAACUCAGUGUAGGUAAUUAUUAAAGUCUUAAAGUAGUUGAAAUAAUUUUGUAUUAGUUAUGAUUUUCGAAAUAGUACCCCAAAACAGUUAUCUAACAUAUUUUUCUUAGUUUUGAAAACAAAACUUAUCAUUUUCUUGUAGUAGAAGGAAGUAUCCGGUUUUCAAAGUUGUAGUGGUGACAUGUGAUUGUUUCUAGUAUUCUCCUAUAAUUUUCCACGUUACAUUCACGUGUAGUUUAUCCAAUAUGGACCGACCAACCUUGGAAUUUACCAUGCAUAAUAUUAUUAUAUAGUUAAAUAGUUUUGUCAUACAUACCUUCGGUUGCUAUAUAUGCUGAGAUGUGUUUAUGUCAUCAACAUUAUGAAAUUACUCUAGUACUACGCAAAUGUAACGAUCUUUUAAGUUAUCACCCGUGAGACAUCGUGUCAUAAGGUUGUUGUACAUGUGCAAUGAUGCUAGUAGAGACUAUCAUCGGGUGUAGGUCGAUGUUCUUAUUGACUUGAGUGUCGGUUGUAGCAUCCAUUAGAAUCGAGUUUGUUUGCAUUAGGUAACCGUGCAAUAAUGUCAACCUGAAUUUACUUGAGGAGGCUUUGAAGCUUUUAGAAGGGAUGUUGUUGGACCAUGUUGAUCUAUGCUGUUUUGUUUGCCGACUCAAUAUGAGCUGCAUUUCAGUAUUUAUAGAUGAGUUGUGAGAUGGUUGGAACGCUUCAUCAAUUGUAUAGUAAAUGUGAUGUUUUGUAAAGAUUUUUUUUUAUUAAAGUAUAAAUUUUUUUCGAAAGCCCUUUAGCAAAAGGAAAAUUUAUUUUAGAUUUCACUGAAGGCGUCAUAGUAAUUUGUAGGUGUCCUUUUGUGAAAAUGCAAUUGAAGACAUAAACAUUACCGGGAAAUUGGUAGAGAUUGAGUGGAUCAGCCAUUGUUGAUAUCUGUUAAGGCUUACAAUGACUCUGGUACCAUAUGAAUGUUUAGAAAAAAGACAAUACUUUUAGUUCUGAAUAAUACUUUCUUGGUAAUUUACAAUGAGCUAUUACAAUGUGUAUAUAUAUAUACCCACGACUUAGAAGUAUCUAGUUUGAUUCCUAAUCUUAUCCUUAAGCUCUAGCUGUAAAGUAGAUUUGGCCUUCAUUGACAGACUGUAAUAUAGUAAAUUUGUUACUAAAAGCAGUCUGGUUUUAUUUGUCUCUUACGUUCAUCUUUGCAGGUACAAAAGGCUGGAGCUCUCUUGUGUUUAUGUGUGGAGUUGUAGUGGACUUCAUGUUGUGUUGGGCGUUAUUAAAGUUGGGUCACUUACGCUCCUAUUGUAAUUAUGUUUUUUUUUUUCAUAACAACUGGGGUCUACACUGUUUAACCAUGUGCAUUAUUUGAUUGGGGUCUUCUUAUUAUGUGAUGAUUUAGUCAUUAUGUAGACGUGCUUAACAAUUAAGCUCAUGUGUCUAGUGGUCGGUAUUUUACAUGAACAUUUGAUGCUCUUAUGGAAACUAUUUGCAAUUAAAUAAAAUGUCCUAAAUUUUCGCUUUAGGAGGCUUCGUCUCUUUCACACAUUGGUAAACCCGUUAGCUACAUGUGUCUUCUCUAAAUUAUUAAUCGUUAUCUUUGAUUUAACGAUCUGCGUUUUAAUGUUGUGGGUGUGAGACUUCAUUUUUUUAUGUAAAAGGUUUGUCCAAGUUUGAGCUUUUGAUUGCCCGUAAAAAAAAAAGUUUGAGCUUUUGAUUGCCCGUAAAAAAAAUAACCAAUUCUUGAAAUUUUAAAUGUUUGGGUUACAUGGUGCUCGUCGGAAUCAAAUACCGAUGCUUGCUUAGUGGACCUCACCUACGAUUGUAGACAUUGUUAAGGCCCGAUUCUAAAGCCUCUCCUUCUUCUUUUCUCAAGAAUCGGUUUUCACAAAUCCUCUUUCGCUCCUAAUAUCUCUUAUCUCUUCUCUAUGAGAUGUUUCCUUCUCUAUCUUCUCGCUUUUUAAUAAACUUUCCAUCUCAUUCUUUUCUUGUAAUCCCUGUUUAGUUGCUGAGGAAGCGAAAGAUAUUUUUCUUCACUUUUAUUACCGAUUUUAUUUUUUUCUUUUUGUUGUGUUUCUCUCUGUGACCAGAUUCCGGUUCGUGUCAUGUUCUUUCUUUUAGAUUCUGCAGAUUCAUUAUCUCUUUAAAUCAAUUGCCUUUUUCUAGAUUUUUGAUUUAAAAAAUCAAACUUCCUUUCAAGAUCUGUGGCGGAAAAACAUUUAUGUCAGACGCCGGAAGGCCACUGUCUCUGUUCUAACAGCUGCGGCUUCCUCGACAGGUCCACCACCAUGAAUCUUUGCUCCAACUGCUACGACGAUCUCUGUCUCAAGAAACAAAUUGCAUGUAAUCCACCAUCAAAUCCUAUAUCUCCGCAUUUCCCCUCCGUCAUUGGAGAUUGUUUCAGUUUCUUCUCUGAUGAUCUAACCUCUUUUCCAAACCAAUCUGCUGAUUUGAGAUAACGACGAAGGACGUACCGAAUAUGAUGACUCAGACGACAAAACAGCCGUAGAAGCUGACUGAAUCACUCCACGACGUUCAGGAAACGGGUCGGGUUGACGGGAUUCAGGUGCCAAUCCAGGAUGACUUGUUGUGGUCCCAUAGAUAGCCGGAAGUCCAUUUCGUUUCAAAUCGCCGGUGCGAAUCACCGACUGGUAGAUGGAUAAGAUUCAUUGAAUUCAAGAUCGUGGUGGUGAGGAAGAGUUAAGUUUGGGUUAAUGAUGCUGAAUAAUGAGACUUGUAACGCUUCGGAGGUGAAGAAUCGAAUCUAAAUCGUCAUGAACAGAGUCCGAUGGAAAGAUUACUGACGAAUCGUUGGGUCACACGCUAUUUCAGAUCCGCCAUUGUUUGAAGACAGAAGCGGAUAUUCAUAGAACCUGAUGAACCCUAAAGCUGUGAGGAAUGCAGAAGAAAAUGGCGAUAUGGUCCUCUCUUUUGUCUAGUUUGGGCUCUCAGGUUCUAUAAGCUAAUAUUCGGGACAUGCCCAUUAGCAAAACGUAUCAAUCGUUUAAGUUAGUAUGCCACGUGUCAGACUCUCUUCUCUCUAUUUGAUGACGUGUAUCUCUAAAAAGAGAGACAAAGUCUACUUUAUAGUAUUAGAUCUCUCACUCUGCUUACAAUGUUCAACUCGCAAAGGCCUGUAAGGCCGAGUGUUUGUACAAUAUUAAAGGCCUAAUAUGCUCGUCUGAACACUCUUCUUUAUAAGACAAUUGAUUGUUUGGUCCUAAA